rnacentral:lncRNA from 1 species
GUUCUUGAUAGAAUACAAGAGGAGUGAGCCCCAGCAGUAUUGAGAAGGAACGAGACAAUGUAUUGCUGUAUAUUGGGAAGACACAAGACUGUAGGUUGCCAAAACAUAUGCUAUAUAUAAUCCUAUUAGUAUCCUAUCACCUAAAACUUUUCAAAAUUGGCCAAAUUAUAUUGACAUUUUUCUUCAUUAUACAUUGAGCGGC